AGCAACCGCGGUAAUUCCAGCUCCAAUAGCGUAUAUUAAAGUUGUUGCAGUUAAAAAGCUCGUAGUUGAAUUUCGGGAUCAAUACGUCGGUCGUGCCUCUGGUAUGUACUGGUGUUAUUGAUUUCUCCUUUCUGAUGAGCCAUGAUGUCAUUAAUUUGGUGUUGUGGGGAGUCAGGACUGUUACUUUGAAAAAAUUAGAGUGUUUAAAGCAGGCUUACGCUUGAAUACAUUAGCAUGGAAUAAUGAAAUAGGACGUUCGAUCCUAUUUUGUUGGUUUCUAGGAUCAACGUAAUGAUUAAUAGGGAUAGUUGGGGGCAUUAGUAUUCAAUUGUCAGAGGUGAAAUUCUUGGAUUUAUUGAAGACUAACUACUGCGAAAGCAUUUGCCAAGGAUGUUUUCAUUAAUCAAGAACGAAAGUUAGGGGAUCGAAGACGAUCAGAUACCGUCGUAGUCUUAACCAUAAACUAUGCCGACUAGGGAUCGGAUGAUGUUAAUUUUUAAUGACUCAUUCGGCGCCUUAA
rnacentral:rRNA from 1 species